rnacentral:lncRNA from 1 species
AUUGGUUGAUAUCUUUGGCGGAAGUACAUGUGAUACAUCCUCAUUCUUUCAAUAUCCAAGCUGUGGGAAGGUCGUGCUCCACGUGUUGUCGGCAAAGUAACUAUAUUCUUUAACUUUUACUUACAUUUGCCUUGGUGGCAAUAUAGCCUUGGUGGCUUUAAGACCUUGGUGGUCAUUUAUAUAUGCCUUGGUGGCAAAAGACCUAGGUGGUCAUUUAUAUAUGCCUUGGUGGCAAUAGACCUAGGUGGUCAUUUUUAUAUGCCUUGGUGGCAAUAGACCUAGGUGGUCAUUUUUAUGAUUUUUUACAUUUGCCUUGAUGGCAACAAUGAAUUAAAAAUACUAGCCUUGGGGGCGUCAAGACCUUGGUGGUCAUUUAUAUUCGCCUUGGCGGCUUCUUGAUAGAACUAGAUGGUAAUGUUUGACCUUGGUGGCAAAAUGUUUUGGGAUUUAGACCUUAGGUAGUUAUUAUCAACCCAGGUGGUCAGAUAUUUGUUAUGCCGUGCGCCGGUUAAACGCAGGGCAAAGUGCUAUCGCUAUAUAAAAUAUAUGUGGAAGUGGGGGCUCUGGCCAUUUUUGGAAAAUUGUAGUUGAAAGGAGAAUAAUAAAUUGUUUUAUAGGGUAAAUAGUUUCUUUUGUUACUUUUGACUGUGUUGUGGACUUUUCAUUUAUUUUUACAUCGUACAUACUGAUAGAAAUGCUAUUUAAAGACUUUGUUAGAAAAGAAUAGAAUUAUUGAGAAAGUGGAAUAAUUUAGUGUGACAUGUCACUUGAUAUUCAUGUUUUUUAUCGGAGUGAUGUGUAUUGAAUUAUAAGGUGUCUUCGUCGAGGUCCGCGUUCAGCGGUCUGUUUGAUUGUACAUAGAAUUGAAUAGAAUGUUUUUGUUUUCAGAUGGUGUUACCUACAGCUUUGACAGGGUGACGAAUGAAGGAGAAGUAAUAUGACAUUGCACGAUGAUUCAUGUCAAUGAGUUCGAACAACCUUUUUAAAAGGAAAGGAUUUUUUCUAAUCAGAAUAUGGUGAGAACAAAUUGCAAUUGAAGUAAUGUUUUGAUUUCUGAAAAUAGGAAAAUAAUGAAUGGGGAAAAUAUUGAUACUACACUAAAUUAUGUAUGUCUGUCUGUGUUGAGAAAGGCAGAAGAUGCCAAUAUGGCACGGUACUAAAAAAAAAAAAAAAAAAAAAAAAUCUGUGAUGGAAGCAGCUUUAUGUUCAAAUGAACCUAUUUAAAAGUAAUGCUAAUAAUUUUUCCGUAAUUUCAUGAUGUUUUCUAUUGGAUGUGUAUUUAAUUUCAUUGAUGUGUUGAAAUAUGUCACAAAAAUCUUUUUGUCAUGGGAGAUUAAAUAAUGGUUGCAAUAUUUUUGUUUUGUUUUGUUUUAUCUAAAUUAAUAAAUAAAUAUAAUGUUGAAUGAUUUUGUAUACUAGUACAAAUGUAUACUUAAAUUUUAUGUAUGGUUAAAUUUUUUAAUUUAAAUUUCUUUGUCUACAGUUCGAGGGACACUGAUUCCCUAGUGGUUUUCCACGUGGAUUGUAGGCAAAGGGAUUUUUCCUUUUCAAAGUGUGACUAAUGCUGUCUUUAGUACAAAUAAACAAUUUGUUAUUGGUUAAUAUAUUUUCAGCAGACAUGUGAAGAAUCGAGUGGAAAUACAAUUGUCAAUGUUCCUGAUUAUGAAGUAAAGAGUGUGUUUGAUUCAACAACAGUAAAGAAAGAGACAAGCCAGCAUAGUUUACACUUGGAGGUUAAGUCCCUUUGCUUACAAGCUUUCCACAUGCUGAAGAUGUUAUUAGAAUAAUGACAAUGUUCAUUUUGAUAUGAGUUCAUUGCCUUAACUCAACUUUUAAAAGUCCGUAUGUGGUCAAAUUCAUGAGAAUUUAUUGAAUUAUGAACGAUUUAUAAAGAACUG